CCUACGGGGGGCAGCAGUGAGGAAUAUUGGUCAAUGGACGCAAGUCUGAACCAGCCAAGCCGCGUGCAGGAAGACGGCUCUAUGAGUUGUAAACUGCUUUUGUCCGGGGGUAAAGGCAGGUACGUGUACCUGUCUGAAAGUACCGUAAGAAUAAGCAUCGGCUAACUCCGUGCCAGCAGCCGCGGUAAUACGGAGGAUUCGAGCGUUAUCCGGAUUUAUUGGGUUUAAAGGGUGCGUAGGCGGUCGGUUAAGUGAGAGGUGAAAUCCCGGGGCUCAACCUCGGAAUUGCCUUUGAUACUGUUAGGCUAGAGAGUAGUAGCGGUAGGCGGAAUGUGUGGUGUAGCGGUGAAAUGCUUAGAGAUCAUGCAGAACACCGAUUGCGAAGGCAGCUUACCGGGCUACUACUGACGUUGAGGCACGAAAGCGUGGGUAGCAAACAGGAUUAGAUACCCCAGUAGUC
rnacentral:rRNA from 1 species